GUAAACUAGUUCACGUUUAGAAGGGAGUGAACGUAUAAAACCGGAUGAUGAGCGAUAUCCAGAGGCCGGGAAGCCCGAGUUGUUUAUAUAAAUCAGGAAAAGAAUGAACUCCGAGAUUUACAUAUGUCCAAGCUUGUGGAUCAGUGAAGUGCGUGCUACGGGGAUGCGAUACGUUGCGCUGAAAAAUCAACUAAAUCAAAUACGGGCAUUGCUCCAUAGAGCCUGUCCCUCAGUGCUCAUUCAGCUCCCCCUCGCCUACAAGGGACCAUCAGAGGAAGGUUCCUGUCUUGGAGGCAUAUGGCGCUUCUCCAUUGAUCAGCACGGCACGGUACAGGAUGGCAAGCGUUCGUAUCCUACCCGUGCCAUGUUGCCUGUUGCGCUUCUCCAUUACACAACAGACCCGUGAAGAUAGGAGGAGUCAUAGGAGGAGUAAAGUGGAGUAAAGCAUCCUAAAUGUGUAAUAAUUAACUCUUGUAUGUAUUUCUACACUCUGUACUCUCAUAUGUUUUCUUGUAUGGGGAUGGGACAAUAUGAAAACCAUUUUCACCGUCCACCACGUUUUAGCGAUGUUCCAACACUCUCGACAUCACUGUUGGAUGCAUCACAAAAACUAUUACA